CCAAUAGCGUAUAUUAAAGUUGUUGCAGUUAAAAAGCUCGUAGUUGAAUUUCGGGGUCAGUAGGUUGGUCAUGCCUCUGGUAUGUACUGGUCUUACUGAUUCCUCCUUCCUGAUGAGCCGUAAUGCCAUUAAUUUGGUGUUGCGGGGAGUCUGGACUGUUACUUUGAAAAAAUUAGAGUGUUUAAAGCAAGCUAACGCUUGAAUACAUUAGCAUGGAAUAAUGAAAUAGGACGUUCGAUCCUAUUUUGUUGGUUUCUAGGAUUGACGUAAUGAUUAAUAGGGAUAGUUGGGGGCAUUAGUAUUCAAUUGUCAGAGGUGAAAUUCUUGGAUUUAUUGAAGACUAACUACUGCGAAAGCAUUUGCCAAGGAUGUUUUCAUUAAUCAAGAACGAAAGUUAGGGGAUCGAAGACGAUCAGAUACCGUCGUAGUCUUAACCAUAAACUAUGCCGACUAGGGAUCGGAUGAUGUUAAUUUUUUAAUGACUCAUUCGGCGCCUUACG
rnacentral:rRNA from 1 species